rnacentral:rRNA from 1 species
GUCCUACGGGACGCAGCAGUGAGGAAUAUUGGUCAAUGGACGCAAGUCUGAACCAGCCAUGCCGCGUGCAGGAUGACGGCUCUAUGAGUUGUAAACUGCUUUUGUACGAGGGUAAACCCCGAUACGUGUAUCGGGUUGAAAGUAUCGUACGAAUAAGGAUCGGCUAACUCCGUGCCAGCAGCCGCGGUAAUACGGAGGAUCCGAGCGUUAUCCGGAUUUAUUGGGUUUAAAGGGUGCGCAGGCGGCGUGUCAAGUCAGCGGUAAAAUGUCGGGGCUCAACCUCGGCCGGCCGUUGAAACUGGCGU